CCAACAAGACAAAAGUCUACUCUUCCCAAUCCAUUAGCAUAUUUAACUACGAGACUUAAUCUUAACCAUUAAUUCCUCUCCAAUCUAAUGGCCCAUGUCAAUUUUUACACCUAUAUUUAAACCCUUCCUAACCUAACUUUUAAUUUCCUAAUUCCUACACCCAAAAGAGGAGGCAGCCUUUGUUUUCUUCUUCUUCAAUUUCGCCCCUAAGAAAACCAUCGAAAGAGCCAAACAUUCUAAUAUCCUAAUAGACCAAACAACAAAGAAACGGCAGACCUCAUUUUUGCAAAAAACAAAGAUUAACCAUUUAAAGUUUCUCCGUUCUGUACUUCUCUUGAUUAUUGAAGAAUCAAUCUUUGAGAUUCUUGGCUAUCCAAAUCCAACAAUCACACAAAGAUAUAAGUAAUUGGGGAAGAAGCAAAAUGGGUUUAGUGUGAAAUUGGUUAGGGGUUGAGGAGUUGAGGUUUGCGAUUCAAGAGAUAGAGGCUAUGGUUCAAUGUUUGUUUGGUCGUUGAAUUUCAACAGUGUUCAACGCCAAAGUGUUUAGCAUAAAGAUUUUCCCAAAUGAUGUAUAUAUAAGUGAAAUAACUGAUGCUGCAAAUUACUUCAGAUGUCUUGCCUUGUUUGUCUCUAACACUGUACUGAUCUCGCUUUUAUGAAAUGAUGGCGUAUUGAAUUCCAAAUUUGAAUUGGUAUUAGAGGUCUCAUUUCUAUUUUCUUCUAUACAUCUUGUCAUUUGCUUGGCACAUUCUUUAUGUCUGUUUUGGCCGUUGAAUCUCACUCUUGUACUAAAUGUGGGAAAGGAAAGGACAAGAAAAAAGUCAACUUUAGUUUUACUUUGUCUUUAUUUUUUUGGGGUUCAUGCCUAAGGUUGUGUACACCCUAAAUAACGUAGCCUCUCUCUUUUUUUUAAUCUAUUUUUCAUGUAUUAGGCGGACAAUUAUAGAUUCCUUUGACAUAUAUUUUCUAAUGAAUUCCAUAUUUUAUAUUAAAAUAUUUGUAAUGUAG
rnacentral:lncRNA from 1 species